rnacentral:rRNA from 1 species
ACGCUCGACACCUACGGGAGGCAGCAGUGGGGAAUAUUGCACAAUGGGGGAAACCCUGAUGCAGCAACGCCGCGUGAAGGAAGACGGUUUUCGGAUUGUAAACUUCUGUUCUUAGUGAAGAUAGUGACGGUAGCUAAGGAGCAAGCCACGGCUAACUACGUGCCAGCAGCAGCGGUAAUCUGAGCGGGCUGGCAAGGC